CCUACGGGAGGCAGCAGUGGGGAAUAUUGCACAAUGGGGGAAACCCUGAUGCAGCGACGCCGCGUGAGUGAAGAAGUAUUUCGGUAUGUAAAGCUCUAUCAGCAGGGAAGAAAAUGACGGUACCUGAUUACGAAGCCCCGGCUAACUACGUGCCAGCAGCCGCGGUAAUACGACGGGGGGAAGCGUUAUACGGAUGUACUGGGUGGAAAGCGAGAGUAGACGGGGGUGCCAGUCAGAAGUGAACGCCCGGGGUUCAACUCCGGGACUGCGUUUGAAACUGUGUGACUGGCGUGCAGGAGAGGUAAGCGGAAUUCCGGGGAGAGCGGUGAGAUGCGUAGAUAUCAGGAGGAACACCAGUGGCGAAGGCGGCUUAAUGGACUGUAACUGACGUUGAGGCUCGAAAGCGUGGGGAGCAAACAGGAUUAGAUACCCGGGUAGUC
rnacentral:rRNA from 1 species